UGUAUUCACUGACAUUACGGUGUCAGCCGAACGGUUUUACUUUCCCUUUUUAGGUGCACGUGGUAAUUCAGUUCUGCGCAUACAGAACAUCUAUCACAGGCGUCUGAUUCCAACCGCAUAUAUUAUAGAUUCUACAUCAGAAGUUAUUCAACGUCAUAAGUAAUCGUAUGAUCAGGGCUUAAGCUUUUUCUAGGGCUAUUGCGUAUAUAAAGGAGCCUUCACGAGCUCUUGCUCAACAUGCAGCGAUUACCUCCUGGACAGGCAGAGAAUUUCACAGCCACUAGAUGAUCAAGAUGGUCUACGCCAUUGUGAUGUUCACAACGAUACUCAUUUCUAUAGUUAAGCAAGCUCAAUCCGAUAUAGAAAUACACCACUGGCUACACCUGGAAAACGUAACACGAGCGUACAUAGACAAAGUCAAUCGGACACCAGCCAGCCAUGUGUACAACUGGAGUCUCGCUAAGGAUCACGCAUACUGGCAAACUAAUCAUCAUCAGGAAAUGCAUCCUGUGAUGGUGGAAGUGGAGUCGAUGGAUUAUUCCGUGUGUUUCGGACCACAUUAUGAGUAUGAAGAACAAGACUGCUCUGGGCUUUUCUCGUGGUCUGUCAACGGCGGUAUUACGAGUCCUUUUCCAGCAAACGUAGAAAUUAUGCUUCCUGUUGUUUACGAGAAGCUAGAGCAAAAACCACAUGAAUUUGAUUUCAAUAACUGCACGAAAGAGACUACCGAAGCGUACUGGGGCAACAGGACUGGUUUGGAAUCCCGCUUUUUUCAGAAGGCAUGUUAUACGUUUUUAUUUCAAAGAAAUUUCUCAGUGUCAUUGAGUGUAUUUAGCUGCACUUUCUGCACAGCACCAACAUGCACAUGUUCUAGCACAAUACUUGUGCUUUGACGCUUGAGCAGUUAACAUCACGAAGCCUCAAUCGUUAUUACCGAGUACUGUUUAUGA